GCCUAAAUCUAGCCCAACCACACACAAUAUUCCAUCUAAAAAAUUUACCUGAACUGCUGAAACCAAAGCAUUAUCAGAACUUAGUAUAGGCGAUAGAAAAGACUACCCUCUGGCGCAAUAGAAAGCUGUACCGUAAGGGAAAGAUGAAAUAGUAAUGAAAAACCAAGCAACAAACAGCAAAGAUAAGCCCUUGUACCUUUUGCAUCAUGAUUUAGCAAGAACAACCAAGCAAAACGAACUUAAGCUUGCCCCCCCGAAACCCAAGCGAGCUACUUACAGGCAGCUACUUUGAGCGAACCCGUCUCUGUUGCAAAAGAGUGGGAUGAUCUGUUAGUAGAGGUGAAAAGCCAACCGAGCUGGGUAAUAGCUGGUUGCCCGUGAAAUGAAUCUAAGUUCUACCUUACUCCCCUCCCGCCAAAUGAACUUCAACCAAUCACCUCAGCGUGGAAUGUUAAGAGCAAUUUAAAGGAGGUACAGCCCCUUUAAAAAAGGACACAACCUCUUCUAGCGGAUAAAACCCCUGCCUCCCAUCCCGUAGGCUUUAAAGCAGCCACCAAUAAAGAGUGCGUCAAAGCUCACCCCAAAAAAAUUCAAAAACACUAUGAUUCCCUUACCCCUAACGGGCCAACCUAUGCCUAUAGGAGAAUUAAUGCUAAAAUAAGUAACCUGGAGUCCCUCUCCUCUCAAGCGCAAACUUACAUACCCCGAUUAUUAACAGACCAACUAAUACUGCCACCCCAACGAGCCUAAAUAUUCCCCCCCCCCUGUUACCCCAACACCGGAGCGCCCAUUAAGAAAGAUUUAAAUCUGUAAAAGGAACUAGGCAAACCCAGGACCCGACUGUUUACCAAAAACAUAGCCUUCGGCCAGCCAAGUAUUGAAGGUGAUGCCUGCCCAGUGACACACGUUCAACGGCCGCGGUAUCCUAACCGUGCGAAGGUAGCGCAAUCAAUUGUCCCAUAAAUCGGGACUUGUAUGAACGGCUAAACGAGGCCCUGACUGUCUCUUACAGAUAAUCAGUGAAAUUGAUCUUCCUGUGCAAAAGCAGGAAUAAGCACAUAAGACGAGAAGACCCUGUGGAACUUUAAAAUCAACGACCACCCCCCAAAUAAACCCAAACCUACUAGGCCUACCACCACAUAAACGCUGGUCCGUAUUUUUCGGUUGGGGCGACCUUGGAGAAAAACAAAUCCUCCAAAAACAAGACCACACCUCUUAACCAAGAGAGACGCCUCCACAUGCUAACAGCAACCAGACCCAAUACAAUUGAUCAAUGAACCAAGCUACCCCAGGGAUAACAGCGCAAUCUCCUUCAAGAGCCCAUAUCGACAAGGAGGUUUACGACCUCGAUGUUGGAUCAGGACAUCCUAAUGGUGCAGCCGCUAUUAAGGGUUCGUUUGUUCAACGAUUAACAGUCCUACGUGAUCUGAGUUCAGACUGGAGUAAUCCAGGUCGGUUUCUAUCUAUGACGAACUUUCCCUAGUACGAAAGGACCGGAAAAGUGAGGCCAUUACCACAGGCACGCCUCCCCCCAAGUAAUGAACCCAACUAAAUUACCAAAAGGGGGUUCCUCCCUUGCCCUAGAUAAGGGCCA
rnacentral:rRNA from 1 species